rnacentral:tRNA from 1 species
AAGGAGCACGCCUGGAAAGCGUGUAUACGCGUAAGUGUAUCGAGGGUUCGAACCCCUCUCUCACCGCCAUAUUCGAGCGAAAGGCUC